GAUGAACGCUGGCGGCGUGCCUAAUACAUGCAAGUCGAGCGAACGGACGAGAAGCUUGCUUUUCUGAUGUUAGCGGCGGACGGGUGAGUAACACGUGGAUAACCUACCUAUAAGACUGGGAUAACUUCGGGAAACCGGAGCUAAUACCGGAUAAUAUUUUGAACCGCAUGGUUCAAAAGUGAAAGACGGUCUUGCUGUCACUUAUAGAUGGAUCCGCGCUGCAUUAGCUAGUUGGUAAGGUAACGGCUUACCAAGGCAACGAUGCAUAGCCGACCUGAGAGGGUGAUCGGCCAAACUGAACCUGAGACACGGCCCGAACUCUAAGGGGAGGCAGAGGUAGGGAAUCUUCCGCAAUGGGCGAAAGCCUACCGGGGCAACGCGGCGUGAGUGAUGAAGGUCUUCGGAUCGUAAAACUCUGUUAUUGGGAAAGAACAUAUGUGUAAGUAACAGUGCACAUCUUGACGGUACCAAAUCAGAAAGCCACGGCUAACUACGU
rnacentral:rRNA from 1 species